rnacentral:rRNA from 1 species
UACGAAGGGGGCUAGCGUUGCUCGGAAUCACUGGGCGUAAAGGGUGCGUAGGCGGGUCUUUAAGUCAGGGGUGAAAUCCUGGAGCUCAACUCCAGAACUGCCUUUGAUACUGAGGAUCUUGAGUAUGGGAGAGGUGAGUGGAACUGCGAGUGUAGAGGUGAAAUUCGUAGAUAUUCGCAAGAACACCAGUGGCGAAGGCGGCUCACUGGCCCAUUACUGACGCUGAGGCACGAAAGCGUGGGGGGCAAACAGG